rnacentral:rRNA from 1 species
GCCUCAGUCAUACUACCCUAAACGUGCCCAAUCUCACCUGAUCUCAAAAGCUAAGCGGGAUCAGGCCUGGUUAGUACUCAGACAGGAGACUGCCUGGGAAUACUAGGUACCACAGGCU